rnacentral:rRNA from 1 species
AGGAGGGGAUGACGUCAAAUCAUCAUGCCCCUUAUGACCUGGGCUACACACGUGCUACAAUGGUUGGUACAACGAGUUGCGAGUCGGUGACGGCGAGCUAAUCUCUUAAAGCCAAUCUCAGUUCGGAUUGUAGGCUGCAACUCGCCUACAUGAAGUCGGAAUCGCUAGUAAUCGCGGAUCAGCACGCCGCGGUCGAAUACGUUCCCGGGCCUU